GAUGAAGAACGUAGCGAAAUGCGAUAAGUAGUGUGAAUUGCAGAAUUCAGUGAAUCAUCGAAUCUUUGAACGCACAUUGCGCCCCUUGGUAUUCCAUGGGGCAUGCCUGUUCGAGCGUCAUUUGUACCUUCAAGCUUUGCUUGGUGUUGGGUGUUUGUCUCGCCUUGCGUGUAGACUCGCCUUAAAAUAAUUGGCAGCCGGCGUAUUGAUUUCGGAGCGCAGUACAUCUCGCGCUUUGCACUCAUAACGACAGCGUCCAAAAGUACAUUUUACACUCUUGACCUCGGAUCAGGUAGGGAUACCCGCUGAACUUAAGCAUAUCAAUAAGCGGAGGA
rnacentral:misc_RNA from 1 species